rnacentral:rRNA from 1 species
UUAACCGUAUAGGGGAGCCGGAGGGAAACCGAGUCUUAACCGGGCGUUAAGUUGCAGGGUAUAGACCCGAAACCCGGUGAUCUAGCCAUGGGCAGGUUGAAGGUUGGGUAACACUAACUGGAGGACCGAACCGACUAAUGUUGAAAAAUUAGCGGAUGACCUGUGGCUGGGGGUGAAAGGCCAAUCAAACCGGGAGAUAGCUGGUUCUCCCCGAAAGCUAUUUAGGUAGCGCCUCGUGAAUUCAUCUCCGGGGGUAGAGCACUGUUUCGGCUAGGGGGCCAUCCCGGCUUACCAACCCGAUGCAAACUGCGAAUACCGGAGAAUGUUAUCACGGGAGACACACGGCGGGUGCUAACGUCCGUCGUGAAGAGGGAAACAACCCAGACCGCCAGCUAAGGUCCCAAAGUCAUGGUUAAGUGGGAAACGAUGUGGGAAGGCCCAGACAGCCAGGAUGUUGGCUUAGAAGCAGCCAUCAUUUAAAGAAAGCGUAAUAGCUCACUGGUCGAGUCGGCCUGCGCGGAAGAUGUAACGGGGCUAAACCAUGCACCGAAGCUGCGGCAGCGAACGUAUCACCCAAGACAACUUUACGGAGUUGACGAUUGACGGAGCGAAGCGACGUCAAAGCGUUCAUUAAAGUCGAGUUGGCUUAGGGAUACGUUCGUUGGGUAGGGGAGCGUUCUGUAAGCCUGUGAAGGUGUGUCGUGAGGCAUGCUGGAGGUAUCAGAAGUGCGAAUGCUGACAUAAGUAACGAUAAAGCGGGUGAAAAGCCCGCUCGCCGGAAGACCAAGGGUUCCUGUCCAACGUUAAUCGGGGCAGGGUGAGUCGACCCCUAAGGCGAGGCCGAAAGGCGUAGUCGAUGGGAAACGGGUUAAUAUUCCCGUACUUGGUGUUACUGCGAAGGGGGGACGGAGAAGGCUAUGUUGGCCGGGCGACGGUUGUCCCGGUUUAAGCGUGUAGGUGUGUGUUCCAGGUAAAUCCGGUUCACUUUAACACUGAGGCGUGACGACGAGGCACUACGGUGCUGAAGCAACAAAUGCCCUGCUUCCAGGAAAAGCCUCUAAGCAUCAGGUAACACGAAAUCGUACCCCAAACCGACACAGGUGGUCAGGUAGAGAAUACCAAGGCGCUUGAGAGAACUCGGGUGAAGGAACUAGGCAAAAUGGUGCCGUAACUUCGGGAGAAGGCACGCUGACACGUAGGUGAAGUGAUUUACUCAUGGAGCUGAAGUCAGUCGAAGAUACCAGCUGGCUGCAACUGUUUAUUAAAAACACAGCACUGUGCAAACACGAAAGUGGACGUAUACGGUGUGACGCCUGCCCGGUGCCGGAA